rnacentral:rRNA from 1 species
GACGAACGCUGGCGGCAUGCCUAAUACAUGCAAGUCGAGCGAACAGAUGAAGUGCUUGCACUUCUGACGUUAGCGGCGAACGGGUGAGUAACACGUAAGGAAUCUACCUAUAAGCGGGGGAUAACAUUCGGAAACGGGUGCUAAUACCGCAUAAUAUCUUCUUCCGCAUGGAAGAAGAUUGAAAGACGGCUCUGCUGUCACUUAUAGAUGACCUUGCGGUGCAUUAGUUAGUUGGUGGGGUAACGGCCUACCAAGACGAUGAUGCAUAGCCGACCGGAAAGGGUGAUCAGCCAACUUGGGACUGAGACACGGCCCAAACUCCUGCGGGAGGCAGCAGUAGGGAAUCUUCCGAAAGGGGCGAAAGCCUGACGGAGCAAUGCCGGGUGAGUGAAGAAGGCCUUCGGGUCGUAAAACUCUGUUAUAAGAGAAGAACAAAUUGUAGAGUAACUGCUACAGUCUUGACGGUAUCUUAUCAGAAAGCCACGGCUAACUACGUGCCAGCCGCCGCCGUAA